CCAAGUCGACGAUCCAUAGCCGGACUGAGAGGUUGAACGGCCACAUUGGGACUGAGACACGGCCCAGACUCCUACGGGAGGCAGCAGUGGGGAAUAUUGCACAAUGGGGGAAACCCUGAUGCAGCAACGCCGCGUGAAGGAAGACGGUUUUCGGAUUGUAAACUUCUUUUAUUCGGGACGAAGAAAGUGACGGUACCGAAUGAAUAAGCCACGGCUAACUAC
rnacentral:rRNA from 1 species